AUUUCAUCAGACAAAGAACUGAAUAAGAAAAAUAUUUUGUGUUUGUAAACACAUGUUUUACACAACUGAUAACAGUAACAACUAUUUAAAAACAUACUGUGGUAUUUUUCUAAUUCAGUACUUUUGUCUGAUGGUAAUAACUCUUUUACCCAAAUGUCACUUACUAUUUAUCUAUUUGAAUUUAAGUCUUAUUACCUUGUGUUUCUAAUCUAUAAUUCAAAUUGUACAUUAUUAACAGUUUUCAUAAUCAAAAUAACCUAUUGUUUCCAAUUAGCUACAUUCCAAUAAGAGGACAUGUCUAACUAAAGAACAGUUUAGCUAUGCAAAUUGAUGUCCUUUAGAGAGAGGUUCUACUGUAAUAGAUUAUCAUUGAAUCAUAUGAUUUCAGCUUUUGUUUGGAUGCAACUCAUCAGGUUUUCUAUCUUAUCCAGUUAUCUUUAUCAUUCUUUGUCCUACUUUCAUUUAUAAUGAAACUUUUCCAGUUCCCAUUUACAUAGGUAAAAUUCCAGUCUCUAUUUACAUAUGUAAAAUUCCAGGCCCCAUUUAUAUAGGUAAAAUUCCAGUCCCCAUUUACAUAUGUAAAAUUCCAUUCCCCAUUUACAUAUGUAAAAUUCCAUUCCCCAUUUACAUAUGUAAUAUUCCAGGCUCCAUUUACAUAUGUAAAAUUCCAGUCCCCAUUUACAUAGGUAAAAUUCCACUCCCCAUUUACAUAUGUAAAAUUCCAGUCCCCAUUUACAUAUGUGAUUGUUAAAAUGGAAGAAUAUCCUGCCAACAGACUUGAAGAAUCCACACACAUAUUCACACAAAAAAUGCAUAUCAAUUAUUUUUUAUAUAUAAGAAAGAAUUCUUUAUUUUUUGCUAUAUAUAUAUGUAUAUACUAUAUUUAAUUAUUUCACAAAUAAACUUAACAUAUGUAUAUUGUUAUGUUUUAUUAAAAUAUAUUUUAUUCUAAAUCUGUUUUAAAAAAUAAAUAUUUUAAUCAUUGUUGUGCAAUUAUUUUAUUCAAUUAUCAUACAUACAAUUUGGGUAUCUGACUAUAUAGAAUUUCAGUAAAACACAAAGUCUUCUUCUUAUCUCCACUCAAUCAUAUUAGGGUAUCAAGCUUGUAGAGCUUGAGACUUGACAACCAUCAUGACUGGGUGAAGUAGAAUGCUUCUGCCUUUGUCAUUAAGACUUGGAACACAAAGUUGUUACCUUAAUAACACUAGAGGAAGAAUUGAUAUUAUUUUUUUUUGGGCAAAUAUUCUUAGGGGAAAAAAUGAUGAAUAAUUUUGAAACCAUCUUUAUAAAAUGAUAAUUCCUUUUUAUUGAAAAAGUACAAAACAAAUAAUUUCAGUACAGAUUCAAUACUUUUGUCUGAUGAUGGUAACAAAGCUGUUACCGAAAUGUCACACAUUAAUUAUUUGGAUUUGGUCUUAUUACCUUUUAAAUAAAUCUUUUAUGGUUGUUUGUGUAUGCUUUUGGGCUAGAACCUCAUUUAGUGUACAUUCUAGUUAUUUUUGAAAUUAUCCCUAGUACACGUGGUACAGGCCAUGAUAAUCAUGGUGGGUAGAAGUAGGCGACUGCUUUUACUGUAAGCGCACCACAUGUCUACUCCUGUGAAAAGCAGUUCAACUUGGCACUUACAAAUGUGCCAUAGCCCGUUAAAUUACUUGCACUCGCUGGUGGGGUUUGACUUUUGCAAGAAUAGGGGGCCACUAGAGAAUAUUUUUUAAUUAGAAAAAAAAAAAAGCCCAAUUCGGGAUUCGAUCCCUGGUCAUAGUGGUCAAAAACCAAAGGUUUAGACCACCCUUCCACCGACCCCCCCACGUACAUUCUAGUUAAUCAUUAUGACCAAAGGCAACUGCGCUUAAAUGAUCCACGAAGAAACAAAAAUCGCGACUUAAAAGGGCUGAUUUUCUAUUUUCCUCUCUAGAAUUAACGAAUAUUUAACAUUGCAUUCACUCAUUAAAUUUUAAUAGAUCCAACUUCUUUAAUUCUUAAACACAAAGAAUAAAAAUUUUCAGUUGAAUUAAAAGUCAGCAUUGAACUCAAGACAAUUAUUCCAUCUUCUACAUGCUAUGUGUGGAAGCAUUCUAAGGCCAACAAAUUAUUGUGGGACAAGAUUCCGGUCCCUGCAAAUGACAGGUCACGAAUUGGGGUUGGAGAGGCGCAGGCAGGGCGAGUGAGCGCCCCGGGGGAGAAGAUGCCUAAAGCGUGACAAUGGUGGGCAUCAAAAAAGUGCCGAUGCAGAGUCAGGAUCCAUAUAGGCCUGGCAGGUGGGGUCUUCUAUGGAGGUGGAGGUCAGUUCUUGGUCCGGUGGGCCAGGAGAAGGGCUGGGAUGAGACCGUCCAGGGCGUCCCUAUGCCCAAGAAGACCGAGAAGGAGCAAAUUCAUCCCAUAAAUCUCCUUUUUUUAAAAAUUAUUUCUGAUACACACAAUACAAGUUACAAGGAGGAGGUAUAUAGUGGGAGCAACUAAGGAAGUUAACAUAUAGGUAAAAUCCAGGGGAAGAGGCAAGGGGGAGAUAAAUUACAUUGGAGUCAAGGAGGGAGUAUUAGAGGGAAAGAAGUAGCUAGGAAGGGGUAUACAGAUGAAGAUUAUAUAUACAUAAGAGGUAUAGAAAAGGUGGGUAGCAGCUAUGUACAGUUGUAGGGCAGGGAAAUUGAAUAAUAUAGGUCGAGGAAGAAACAAACAGUGAGGUGGAGGAUGUCUAUCUGGUUGUGCAGGGUGGGUUUUGGUUGGUGGGUGAUGGUUGGAAGAUGUGGGGUCAGUGGGUGAAUGUGGGGUAGGAGGAGGAGUGUAAUAGCGCAGUGCUGGUAUCGGGGUUUGAUCGGGGGAUGUUGGAGGCGACGAAUCUACCAGAGUGUGUAGCGAAGGUAAGGGUUAGGGCCCAGGCCUUGUCUGAGGAGAAUAGCUGGGAGAGGGAAGUUGGAAUGUGUCCCAGUUCGGACAGGCUUUUGCGGAAGAAUGAGGCGCGGAGAGAAUCUAGUCCAGGGCAGUCGAAGAAGAUAUGGUCCAGGGUUUCAGGGGCUGUGUUGCAGUGGAGGCAAGUGGUGUUGAUAGGGGAGGGUGCACUCUUGUGGGUGAAUGCGGCGAUAAAAGCGUGUCCGGUUAGAAGGCUGGUGGCGAUGGCAGUGUUUGGGAGGAGGAAGCGAUGAGUGGAGAGAAGGGAUCGGGGUGUCAGACCCAGUUUGAGGAACAAGCUGGGCCUGGCCGAGAUAUACUCGUCCUCCCAAAGGGACCUGAUGUGGUUGGAAAGGUACUUGUGGUGGGUGGUUUUGGAGGCGCAGGUGUAUUGUGGGGGAAGGGGCGAGUGUGGCCUCCUUGGCCAACGUGACGGCGAUGUUAUUGCCGGAGUGCCCUUUGACCCAGUGGAGGGUGAGUGCGCGGGAGGGGAGGAGGGAAUAGAGUAGAGUUUGACACUCUGCGAUGAGAGGGUGAGGGGAGUGUGAAAGGAAAGGGCCGUGAGGAGGGAGAGACAGUCGGAAGAGAUUGCGGCGGAAUAGCAGGAGGGAAGGUUUUGGAAGUCCGUGAGAGCAGUCAGGAAGGCGUAGCAUUCGGCCUGAAAGACGGAGCAGUGGGAAGCCAGGGGGAUGGAGAAUUCGCGGGUGGAGUGUGUAGAUGGGAGGGCUGGGGAAGGAAUCCUGACAAUGCCGGCGCCUACAUCGCUGCGCGUUUUUGAGCCGUCGGUGUAGUAGUCGAAGUCGGGAGUAGGUGGAGGGAGCAGAGAGAAGGAGAGGUCUGGAAGGAGAGGGGGAGAAGGGUGGAGAAAAGGAGGGGGAGGGGAUUCAGGGGUGAAGGGAAGAGGGUCGGGGGGGGGGGGGGGCGGAGGAGGGAAGAGAGGAGGAGGACCUUGAGGUCCAGUGGGAGGACGCGGAGGAGGGCGAAGGCAGCCAGAGUGGCGGGUGGUGCGGAAACCGCGGAUGACGUUGACGCAAAAUUUCCUCUGGAUGGAGCGGAGACUUGAUUUCCUCAACGCAGAGUUUAACCGCCUCGCUCCAGAUGGGGGCGGCUCCGACCACUCCGAGGUAGAAGCGUCUCCUGGCAAAAAAUCCGAACCCGGAAGUUGCAUUUGAGCAUUGACGGACCCUGCCUAGGAGAGAGGAGGCUUUCUCACAUACUUUGUGGAGGAGAGGUGUGAAGCUUAGGCGGUCGUCGAAGGUGACCCCAAGGAUAGUAAGGGUACCGGGACAGGAGAGAGGUGUGCCAUUGAUAAGGAGUUGGGGCGGGUUGCAAAAGAUGGGAAGUACAAGAGAUUUAUGAGGGGUAAGGGCGAGCUUAUUAUCGAGGCACCAGGAGUGAAUGAGGUCUAGAGCAGAUUGAGCGAGGGAGGGAAGGUGAAGCGAAGGACCGGACACGAGGAUUUGAAUAUCGUCGGCGAACGCUUGCACGUGAACGCCACGAGGGAAAGGAAGAGAUAGAAGGGGAUUAAAAAAGAUGUUCCAGAGGAGAGGCCCGCUGACAGAGCCUUGGGCGCAGCCUCUCAAGAGGGAGGUGGAGCGGGAGAAUCCUCGGUAAGAGAAGUGAAUGGAACGGUCGGAGAGGAAGGAGCGGUAGAGAUGAAGUAGGGUGGGGGGGGGGGGGGGGGCAAGAGGCAGCCUCGAGUCGGCCGAAUAGGGAAUAGGGCAGGGUGCCAGAGGUGGUCGAAAGUGGAUUUAAUAUCCAAGCUGAUGAGGAGGCAGCAUUGGAAGCGGGAGACGGCUCGUUUGAUAUGGGUGAGCAGGAGGGAGAGAGCAUUGGUGGUGGAGUCAGCAUUGAACUAUAGACUUUAAAGCAAAAAGGGUACAGAGAAGGGUGAUGAUAGCUUGGGGGAGGGGGGGGGUGAGUUCAGCAACACUGGGACAAAUAAGCGGGAUUAUUUUGAGAAAGGAGGCCAGGAAGUGUAGCAAGAAGGAUUUGCUAAACAUGGUGAGCUCAGGACGCUGUUUUUUUGUGUGUGUGUGUCGUAUUUUUUGUUGCAGGUUUUCCUGAAUGUAGUGUAAAUUUUUUUUUCUGAUUUUUCAUCAAUUAUUGAACAUACAGUCAUUGUAAUUUUUUAUAUUGAGAAUUAUAUAGCAUUUUAUUAAAAAUAAAUAAAUAAAAGAGUACGCUUUAAAUUUCGCAGAUGAUUUUAUAAUGUUUCUCUCUUUUUUUUAAACGUUUUUAAAUUUAAUGAUCUAUAUAUGCGUACAUUUCUCAUAACUUUAUAAAUUAGAAUUUCUUUCGCUCUCUUUUUACUUCUCCUUUUCUGUAUCUCUCAGGAGAAUAUGUACAUAAAACUAAAAGUAUUGAUUGAUCCUCCUUUUAAAUCACUUAAAUUCGAAAUUCAUAAUGAUAUUCCCCCUCCGCCGCUUUCAAUUUCUACUCAUAUAAAUAUAAUUUUCCAAACCAACUUCCAAACAACAAAU